rnacentral:rRNA from 1 species
GAUGAACGCUGGCGGCGCGCCUAACACAUGCAAGUCGAACGGUUAAAGCACCUUUUAGGUGUGUAUAAAGUGGCGAACGGCUGAGUAACACGUGGGCAACCUGCCCUCCUCUUGGGGAUAGCCUCGGGAAACCGAGGAUAAUACCCGAUACUUCAAUGUGGCCGCAUGACGACAUUGAGAAAGCUUUUGCGGAGAAGGAUGGGCCCGCGGCCUGUUAGCUUGUUGGUGGGGUAGAGGCCUACCAAGGCAAUGAUGGGUAGCUGGGUUGAGAGACCGACCAGCCAGAUUGGGACUGAGACACGGCCCAGACUCCUACGGGAGGCAGCGGUGGGGAAUCUUGCACAAUGGGCGAAAGCCUGAUGCAGCGACGCCGCGUGCGGGACGAAGGCCUUCGGGUUGUAAACCGCUUUCAGCAGGGACGAGGCGAUAAGUGACGGUACCUGCAGAAGAAGCCCCGGCUAACUACGUG